UCUAGACACUGCCCCUCCGGGAGUCUCUUUCCAAAAACCUGUCUCCAGCCUGCCCACCUCCUAGACCCCUGGCUUCUGGCUGCCCUUGGGGUCCUCUCAGCUCCAUCACUGUGGAGGGGGGCCGAGGAGGGGCCAGGUGGGAGGGCCGCGGGGGCGUCCUCCUGCCCUCCUGCCCGCUCUCCAGCAGAAAGAAGCUGUCUAGCUUGGGAGUCUGGGGACCUGACUGCUUCUGACUCUGUGACCUUGGCCAGCAGCCGGCCUCUGUGACUCAUUUUCUUCAUCUGUACAAUGAAACCAUUGGACUGGAUGUUCUCGAAGACUCCUUCCAGCGCUGGUGAAUCAACAGUUUCUCCUCCACUCUCCCCUCUCCCCGCCUCCCGUCGCCCAGGGAUGUGUCUGUGGUGAGUGGAGGCGGAGGGCCAGGGAGGACACGGAGCUUUGGCUUCCCCUGCAUUGGCCGUGUAGGUGGGGGCCCUGUGGCUGGGGCUCCCUCACGUCCUCGGUGUCCCGAGAGCCUUUCUCAGGUGGGGAGGGGGGUUGACGAAGGAAGGGCAGGUGCCUGGUGGUAGGGCCUGUUUGCUGACGAUGCCCUCAGCCAAGGGAGGCACGUGAGAGGCCCAGGGGCUUCCAGGAGUAGCUCCGGCAGGGGCUGGGGGGUGCCAGCUGGGCUCCCCAAAUUGGGCAUGGGCACUUGGGACUUGCUACCUGGGUCUGGGGCCCUAGGAAACAGACUAAGAAAAAAUGGCAAAUAUGCAAGGACACAGGAAAGCGUCGUCAGACCUCCCGGCCGCUGAGAGUGUUGGGAGGGGGAAGGAUGGAAGGGUCCCCAAGCCCCAGAUGUGGAGAGAGAGAGGCCAGAGAGGACGGCUGCGCCCCAAAUGCCACAUCCUGCUGCGGUCCCCUACCCUGCCCCCACCUCCCCUUCCUUGCUAAAGUAGAAAUGGAGUUUCCUGUUUUCCUGCCUGCCUUCCUGGCAGGGUUUCUCCCUUUUCCCAAGGUUCAGAGCUGAAGAGUUCGAGCUGCACCUGCCGUCUGUGGGAGGGAGGGGGCCUAGUCUCCUCCUCCUCCUUCUGAGGGGAGCAGGCGCCAAGCAGCCAGCAGAGGCGCAGAGGACGAGGGCUGCGGGCCUUCAGGCUGACAGGGACCCUGCCCCAGGGACCUCUCCUCCGGCCCGGGCCUGUUUUGUUUCCCUCCUGGUGCGCCGCCCACCCGCAGUUUUCCCUCUCUCUGUCGCCCUCUAGGGUCUGCCUGCCGCCACUACGCCUUGCCUUUGGUCUCUGCCCGCUCCCCUGAUGGCGGUGCCGGCUGGCUCCCUGGUUUCCUGGUUCACUCCUGUACUCACUCAACAGACAUGUCAGGGUGCCUGUUUGGAGAUACAGAGGCGUGGCCUGGGCUCCAGAGACUCACGGAUUUAGGGAGAGAGAGGCAUGCCAACAAAUAACUGGAUCAAGGUCUUCACGCCCUGGGAGUCCCCUGGUGGCUCAGCAGGUUAAGGAUCCGGCAUUGUCACAGCUGUGGUGCGUGGCCACCAAAAACAAACCAAACCAAACCAAACAAACAAACAAACAAAAACUUNAGUGGCCACUGCAGCUGGGGAUCAGGAAGGCUCCUUGUUGGAGGAGGCAGCUGAGCUGGGCCUCGAACCUUGAGCCCACAGGAACCUGGCAGGUGUGGAGGCCCAGGAGGGCCCAGGGAGGAGGACGGGGUGGGAGCGGAGUUUGGAGGGUGCAGGAGGAGGGGCUGGCCAUUCCAGGUGGAGCCAUUCAGAAGGCCUUCUGAGCGCCGUGGCUCCUCAUGGGGUCCUCAGGGCGGGGAGUUCUGUUUCAUUAAUUCCAUACUGUGUCCUGGGAACCAGGCCCUGGGCGUGACACAUAGGGUUCCGUAAGCAUGUGUGGUCAGACGUGCGUUUUCGAUGUGGUGGGAUGGACGGACGAGGGGGCCAGACCCAGGCAGGCCAGCAGGCGGGAAGGUAGGUAAGGGGGGGCCAUGGUGAGAGGCCAGCAGCAGGGGUGGGCAGAACAGGAAGAAGUGGCACUGCCUGGUGACAGCCUGGCUGUGGGCAUGGGGUGAGGAAGGCGGUCUGCUGGGCAGCGACAGAAUGGGAGGGGAGAAGGGGAAGGGGCAGCUUUGGGCUCACUGUGAGACAGGCUGAACUUCUUUGGGGGGCCGUGCCCAUGCGGAAUUUCCCAGGCUGGGGAUGGAUGGAAGCUGUGCACGACAGUGACAACGCCAGAUCCUUAACCACUAGGCCGCCAGGGAAUUCAGGACAGGCUGGAAUUUUAUGCCCACUUUUGGGUGUGUUUCAUGUCCCUCCACCAAGCGGUGGCAUCUUCAGAGCAAGGCCAGGUCUGCUUUUCCUGUAGCCCCGGGCCUUGCCUGAGGCCCGGUUCUGCUGAACCUGGGUAACGAGUUAGAGGGUUCAUGGGGGCUUCUUUGAACGGCUGCCUCAGAUCAGGAACAGAGCCACUGGCCAAAGGCCUCCUCAGGUGUCCCUUCCAAUGUGAGGGAAAAGAAACUGGAGGGGAGUCGGGUGUGGAGACACAGCCACAGGCCUCGGAUCACGGCCCCCUGCUCCGUGGCCCAGACCAGACCAAGGACACCUCCUGUGUCACAGCUCCCACAGCCCGGAGCCGUGACCACACCCGCUGCCCUCUCCGCAGACGUGGGCCAGGGUUCUUGACCUGUGGGGCCGGCCCUGAACGACUGCAGAGCGUCUGUGGGCUCUGAAGUCGCCUGCAGGUGGUGGGCGUGUGGACCGUCUUCUGAGGAAAGGCUUCCCACCCUUCGUCAGAUUCCUGAAGAGCGGCUGAGUCAAAGCGAGGUUAAAAUCUGCCACUCUAAGAGAACAGAAGGAGGAAGAGGAGGAGGAGAAUGUAUUUCAUUGGCUCUAUGUAAGAGGCAGACAGACACACGAGUAGCUAUUAAAAAGCAAAAACCAAACCAAACCAAAACAACACCCCUGCCAGGCCAAGCUCUCCCUUUCCAAGCCCCGUCCCAGCACCCAGCCAGGGCCAGACACACGGAAUUUUCCUUCAGUGACCCCUUAGGGACCACUCACUUUAUACCAGGCCCCCCACCAGGAUGAGGAGAUCCCCUUUCAGCUUCCUCCUGGCCCCCUGUGGAGACCGGAUUUAAAGCUAGAGUUGCUUUAAGCUGUGUUCUCAGACGUUCCUGUUGUGACUCAGUGGUAACGAGCCCAACUAGUAUCCGUGAGGAUGUGGGUUGGAUCCCUGGCCUCUCUCCGUGGGUUGAGGAUCCAGCAUUGCUGUGGCUGUGGCAGCAGCUGUAGCUCUGAUUUGACUCCUAGCCUGGGAGCUUCCUUAUGCGG
rnacentral:lncRNA from 1 species